ACAACACAAUAUAACAAUAUAUUCAAUCACCAUGUAGAAGAGUAGGGUCCGAAUAUGGACGAAAAGAAACGAUAAAAGAACGACGUCCAUCCUUGCUAUCCCACACUGUCGUCCUGGAACCCAUCCUAGAUCGAUGAAGAAGAAGAAGAAGAGGAAACUCCAAAUAUCACAAUCAUCACGCUCACGUCAAAGUAUUGCUUUACUUGUACCUACAACUGUUUUUGUAGUAAUCUAUGAGCCACAAGGACUCAUCAAUCUCAAUUCCAAAGGUAUCAAGACUAGCAAAGUUUAAUGGGUGAGAUAUGGUUAAGUGGUGAGGAUGCAACAAACAACUAAGCUUUUUUUGAGUGGCUAACUUACGAGUACGAGAUUAAAACGUGGGGAUCAUAAAUGCAUAUCGGACGAGAACUAAUAGUGAUCACGAACUGAUAUUGAACACCUACUUACGUCAAACAUAGCCCCAUUGUGUCCUCUUCCGAAUAAAGAACUCCGAGAAGAGACAGUCAUGGCUACGCACACAAUUGGCAAUUUAAUUGACUUUACUUCAAGUUAUCUAGAACCGGGUGUUAAAUAAAGUUUCCAAGUUGCCACAUAAUCGUGGGCACGGCUUUCCGAAAGAUUUAAUCCUUCAGGUGUGCUCCAACUAGUCCAUCACAAACUACUACACGCUGCAUCAAAAACCUCGUCAGCGGAAAACCCAUGAUCUCCUCAGAUUCCUGGUGGAAAACCUUAACCUCGAGAUAGCCCAAAGUAUCCACGCAAACCUCGCACAAGACGUUCGAGAAAGGUAAAACAAAUCCAGCAAGGCCGCACGACAUGUCGAAGAUCCCAAUAGGAGCCGCAUAUGUUCUUCUUCGGACACGACGGAUAAGCGAUGCGUACGGGUGCGUGAUAGAAAUCACCCAAGUUUCCCUAGGUUGGCCCCGCAUAGUGCUCUAGUUUGGACCAACACUCAUGACGAGCACUAGCCCAGGGGUUGAUUAAUUAUCCACGAGUUAAUUACUGGCUAUGCGGUUCAUUAGUUAUUAGGCAAAUAUGGUACCAAUGUUGGGCCUUGCCAGCCAAGUUUUAUCCCAAAACUAAAAUCAAGGGGGUCCCCAUAACAACCCCAAGCAUGUUAGGAGCGCUCAUUUAUGGAACAUAACACCGGUAGCCGAAACUAAGGCAGCAAAGGUGGAACAAAACACCAGGCUAGAAGGCCAAGCCUUCAACCUUUUACCAAAUAUAUAGGUGCAUUAAAUUAAUUAGCAAUAAUAUGAUGAUAUAACAAGGAACCCAUGUUUUCACAUGGAAGCAACUGCACCUGGAACUAGCAAUGCUAUAAGAAGGCUGAGUGAGCUGUAACAUAGCCAAACAAGGGUUUGCUUGGCUGUGGCAGGGUUAGAGGAUUUUCAUGGCAAUGUUGGGAGGCUGCAUUUAUGUGGGGGCAGCAAGACAUAGCGAAAGAAACGAGACAACUAGCAUGGCAAUGAUAGUAAUGGUAACUAGAGAAAUGAUCAUCUUUCCUGUGAUCCCGCUAGGAAGAAGAACGAAUCCGCGAAGCAAACGAACCAACAGAGUCGAACGAAUCCUUAAGUUCCGACACGCUUGCGGAACUCUAUCGAAAAGAAGCAAUCUGAAAACAAGAAUCAACACACGAUAUUCACCACAACGUAUGGAUGCCAUGAUGAACAAACACAUAUGAUGCAUGUCUAGUUUAAUUAUGCAAGGCAUGGCACCUCACAACAAUCGAAUACUACACAUUAAGUGAAGCUCAAUAUGCAACGAGUUGCAUAUUAACAAAACUUCAUGUUCAUAUAUUUAGUUCACUCUAUUUUAGGUACUCAUCAAUAUUAAAUGUUGUCUAAACAUUACAAGAGGUGAAGCACAAAUAAUCUACACUAUCUAGGCAUUUUAAGUGAGGUCGGAAACAACAUAUAGCAUCUCCAAAAUGACUCCAUGUGCUAAUUUAAAAAUCUGCCCAGAUCUAUACUACAGAUUUUAUAUUUGUUAAACAACAAAGUAAAGUGGGCCAUGUGAUUCUACUUGUCAUUCCAGUCGAUUUACAUAUAUCGAUCAUCUAAAACGGAGCUACAAUUUAAAAGAUAUGAGCAACACAAGAUAAUAUGGCAUGCAUGCAAAACGUAUGCAAAUGACAGCCACAAUAUAUUAAAACUUGGAUGCACAAGAUAUUAUGAAACUACCUAAAAUUCUAAGCAAGUUUAAAUGAGGCCGGAACAACAAAUAACAAUUCCGGAAAGUCCCCAGAUUUCGAAUUUGCUACAGAUCUGCCUAAGCACAAUUUUAGAGUUGUUAAACAGGAAAAUAAAUCCUACCAUGUUAUUCUGCACAUUUUUCUACCGAAGUUAUAUAUGUGGAUCAUUUUAAUCUGAGCUACAGUUGAUUAAUUAUGAGACAAACCGUUCUAACACGGCAUCAGCCCAAAUUAAAUUAAAACAAGAAUUUAUACAUUUUGAACACAUGUGAGAGUUUGAUAUUGUGAAACUACACAAAAUUGUAAGCACUUUUCAUGUAUGAAGUUUUAAAUCCGAUGCACGGUUAAUUUGCUAUGAAUUAAAUCGUUUUAAAUAUGGCAUCACGCAAAAAAUGCAAACAUCACUUUUAAACAGUUUUAACAUGCGUGAAAGUGGAAUAUUAUGAAUCCACACAAAAUUCUGGACAUCUCACAUAUAUAAUUUAUUUUCAUCCGAUGCAUGAUUAAAUAAUUAUUAUUAUUUUUUGGACAUAUGCACUUUUCUGAAAUUAUAAAAUGUCAUGAGAAAUAGCUAAAUUCAUGGGAGCAGGAAAACAAAUGUAUACAUGCUGAAUUUGACUGAACUAGGCCAACACAGAGCUAGGCACAAUAUAACAAAUGUCACACUAGGCGACAUACACGCAAGGGGGGGGGAGCUCACCAAGUGGUCUUAGCCUAGGUUGAGGCACAGGACCGACUGGGCCGGCUGGGGCGACUGCUGGGCCUGGCGCGUGGAGAGGCAGCCCAGCCGACGCGGAGAAUUCCACACACGGGGGCCGGGGUCAUGGACGUUGACCUCGCCUCCUCGAUCUCGAGCAGCCUAUGCGCAGCGGCGGUGGGACUCGCCCAGAUCUCGGUCGGGGCUCUAACGAGUGGAGGUGGCCGGAGGAGGCUCAUCCGGGGGCGUUGCCUCAGAUCUCCACGUAUCCUCGCGGCAACGGCAACGUAAGGCGAGCCUCGCGGGCUGGGAUGGCAUGAGCAACUGGCGGGGGGCUUAGGUCGCAGCUGAGCUGCGUGUGAGGCGCAGCGAGCGGUAGUGGGGUGCAGGGCCCGAAGCGGCGGAUUUUUGUCGGCGGGCUAUUGGAGGGGAGCGUGAGGGGAGGCUGCUUGGCGAGCUCACGACGCGGCAGCGAUGAGACUGGUAGUGGGGAGGCACAGCACGUGGGUGCGGUGCACCGCGACGGCCAAACCGGGCCUCGGAAGGCUGCGCCUCGGCCUCGGCGAGCCGGGGCUAGCUGAGGUGGGGAGCGGCUAGUUGGCUGAUUCGGAUUGCCGUGGCCAUCCGAUCUAGCCACGGGCGGCCCUGAUCGUGCGUUGGCGAGCUGGUGGUUGUGGUUAGCUCAGGUGGCGGCUACGUAGUGGAGGGACAACA
rnacentral:lncRNA from 1 species